rnacentral:rRNA from 1 species
UGGUUUGUUACGUCGGUUGUGAAAUUCAGGGGCUCAACCCUGACUUGCAGCCGAUACGGGCAAGCUAGAGUUUGGUAGGGGAGACUGGAAUUCCUGGUGUAGCGGUGGAAUGCGCAGAUAUCAGGAGGAACACCGAUGGCGAAGGCAGGUCUCUGGGCCAAUACUGACACUGGGGAGCGAAAGCGUGGGGAGCGAACAGGAUUAGAUACCCUGGUAGUCCACGCCGUAAACGGUGGGCGCUAGUUGUGCGAACCUUCCACGGUUUGUGCGACGCAGCUAACGCAUUAAGCGCCCCGCCUGGGGAGUACGAUCGCAAGAUUAAAACUCAAAGGAAUUGACGGGGCCCCGCACAAGCAGCGGAGCAUGCGGCUUAAUUCGACGCAACGCGAAGAACCUUACCAAGGCUUGACAUAUACAGGAAUAUGGCAGAGAUGUCAUAGCCGCAAGGUCUGUAUACAGGUGGUGCAUGGUUGUCGUCAGCUCGUGUCGUGAGAUGUUGGGUUAAGUCCCGCAACGAGCGCAACCCUCGUUCUGUGUUGCCAGCAUUUAGUUGGGGACUCACAGGAGACUGCCGGGGUUAACUCGGAGGAAGGUGGGGAUGACGUCAAAUCAUCAUGCCCCUUAUGUCUUGGGCUGCACGCAUGCUACAAUGGCUGGUACAAACGGCUGCGAUACCGCAAGGUGGAGCGAAUCCGAUAAAGCCAGUCUCAGUUCGGAUUGGGGUCUGCAACUCGACCCCAUGAAGUCGGAGUUACUAGUAAUCGUAGAUCAGCAACGCUACGGUGAAUACGUUCCCGGGGCUUGUACACACCGCCCGUCACAUCACGAAAGUCGGUAACACCCAAAGUCAGUGGCCCAACCGCAAGGAGGGAGCUGCCAAAGGUGGGAUCGGUGAUUGGGAUGAAGUCGUAACAAGGUA